GAUGAACGCUGGCGGCGUGCCUAAUACAUGCAAGUCGAGCGAACAGACGAGGAGCUUGCUCCUCUGACGUUAGCGGCGGACGGGUGAGUAACACGUGGAUAACCUACCUAUAAGACUGGGAUAACUUCGGGAAACCGGAGCUAAUACCGGAUAAUAUCUUGAACCGCAUGGUUCAAUAGUGAAAGACGGUUUUGCUGUCACUUAUAGAUGGAUCCGCGCGGCUUUAGCUGGUUGGUGAGGUAACGGCUUACCAAGGCGACGAUGCGUGGCCGACCUGUGAGAGGGAUAGGCGACACUGGAGGUGAGACGGGGACCAGACGCCUACGAGAGGCAGCAGUAGGGAAUCGUACGCAGUGGUCGAGAGCCUGACAGAGCAACGGCGAGUGAGUGACGGAGGUCUUCGGAUCGUAAUACCCUGUUAUUAGGGAUAAACAAAUGUGUAAGGAACCAUGCAGGUCGUGACGGUACCUGGUCAGAAAGCCCCGGCUAACUACGUG
rnacentral:rRNA from 1 species